GUUACCUGAAUGCAGAGGAACCAACGGGUGACUUCAACGAAACACCAAAGGAUACUGGAAACCUAAGACAGAGGAAGAAAGAAUCUCUCAGCCACACAGAAAAAGCCUGGAGACAGCCUGGAAACUACAACCAGAGUAUGUCCAAUGGUGAGCAAGUGAGAGGAGCAGGAAGACACCAUCGGUAGGGGUACCUGUGGUCAACUGUCAUCUAGAAGCAGAUGGUCCUUUUUUUUUUUUUAACCUAUCGCUGAAGGUCAACAGUAGCCUAAUGCUAGUCACAGUGCCUACAUCAUUUACCUCACUUCGUGUUACCAUGAAGGCAUUGUAUCAUCUCACAUCAUCACAAAGAA